UCAAUAAGCGGAGGUACAGAUACCAACAGGGAUUGCCCUAGUAACGGCGAGUGAAGCGGCAACAGCUCAAAUUUGAAAUCUGGCCCUCGGGUCCGAAUUGUAAUUUGUAGAGGAUGUUUUUGGUGCGGUACCUUCCGAGUUCCCUGGAACGGGACGCCAUAGAGGGUGAGAGCCCCGUCUGGUUGGAUGCCAAUCCUCUGUAAAACUCCUUCGACGAGUCGAGUAGUUUGGGAAUGCUGCUCUAAAUGGGAGGUAUAUGUCUUCUAAAGCUAAAUAUUGGCCAGAGACCGAUAGCGCACAAGUAGAGUGAUCGAAAGAUGAAAAGCACUUUGAAAAGAGAGUUAAAAAGCACGUGAAAUUGUUAAAAGGGAAGCGCUUAUGACCAGACUUGGGCUUGGUUGAUCAUCCAGUGUUCUCACUGGUGCACUCUUCCGGCUCAGGCCAGCAUCAGUUUGCUUUGGGGGAUAAAGGCUUUGGGAAUGUGGCUCCCUCGGGAGUGUUAUAGCCCAUUGUGUAAUACCCUGGAGCGGACUGAGGUACGCGUUCUGCAAGGAUGCUGGCGUAAUGGUCAUCAGUGACCCGUCUUGAAACACGGACCAAGGAGUCGUCUUCGUAUGCGAGUGUUCGGGUGUCAAACCCCUACGCGUAAUGAAAGUGAACGCAGGUGAGAGCUUCGGCGCAUCAUCGACCGAUCCUGAUGUUCUCGGAUGGAUUUGAGUAAGAGCAUACGGGGCCGGACCCGAAAGAAGGUGAAACUAUGCCUGUGUAGGGUGAAGCCAGAGGAAACUCUGGUGGGAGGCUCGCAGCGGUUCUGACGUUGCAAAUGGAUCGUCAAACAUGGGCAUGGGGGCGAAAGACUAAUCG
rnacentral:rRNA from 1 species